rnacentral:misc_RNA from 1 species
GUAUAUAGAUGCGUUACAUCGCAAUACACAUUCUGAUACUGAAGCGUUUGUAGUAAGACGUAGGCACGGUUAACGCCUCGCCGCAAACGACGCGACGCCUUCCGAUACCCACAGUAAGUGCACAGGUGUAGAGUGGAUGAGCAGGGCGUGCACAUGCCUCCGGAGAGGCCAGCUACAACCCGUUUCAAAACUCGAUAAUGAUCCUUCCGCAGGUUCACCUACGGAAA